rnacentral:rRNA from 1 species
UACGGGGGGUGCGAGCGUUGUCCGGAAUCACUGGGCGUAAAGGGCACGUAGGUGGCGUCGUAAGUCUGUGGUGAAAGCCCGGAGCUCAACUCCGGGUCUGCCGCGGAUACUGCGAGGCUUGAGUGCUGUAGAGGGGGGUAGAAUGCCGGGUGUAGCGGUGGAAUGCGUAGAGAUCCGGCAGAAGACCGGUGGCGAAGGCGGCCCCCUGGGCAGUAACUGACACUGAGGCGCGACAGCGUGGGGAGCAAACAGG